rnacentral:rRNA from 1 species
UACGUAGGGUGCUAGCGUUGUUCGGAAUCAUUGGGCGUAAAGCGCGUGUAGGCGGCUAAUUAAGUCGAGUGUGAAAUCCCUAGGCUCAACCUAGGAAGUGCAUCCGAAACUCAUUAGCUGGAAGACGGUAGAGGAAGGUAGAAUUCCUAGUGUAGAGGUGAAAUUCGUAGAUAUUAGGAGGAACACCGGUGGCGAAGGCGGCCUUCUGGACCGUUCUUGACGCUGAGACGCGAAAGCGUGGGGAGCAAACAGG